rnacentral:rRNA from 1 species
AUACGUAGGGGGCGAGCGUUGUCCGGAUUUACUGGGCGUAAAGGGUGAGUAGGCGGUUGUAUGUGUCAGAUGUAAAAGGCGUAGGCUUAACCUAUGUUAGCAUUUGAAACUGUACAACUUGAGUGCAGGAGAGGUAAGUGGAAUUCCUAGUGUAGCGGUGAAAUGCGUAGAUAUUAGGAGGAACACCAGUGGCGAAGGCGACUUACUGGACUGUAACUGACGCUGAGUCACGAAAGCGUGGGUAGCAAACAGGAUUAGAUACCCUGGUAGUCCACGCUGUAAACGAUGAGUGCUAGGUGUUGGGUAGCGAUACUCAGUGCCGUAGUUAACACAAUAAGCACUCCGCCUGGGGAGUACGGUCGCAAGACUGAA